rnacentral:rRNA from 1 species
AGAGUUUGAUCAUGGCUCAGAUUGAACGCUGGCGGCAGGCCUAACACAUGCAAGUCGAACGGUAACAGGAAACAGCUUGCUGUUUUGCUGACGAGUGGCGGACGGGUGAGUAAUGUCUGGGAAACUGCCUGAUGGAGGGGGAUAACUACUGGAAACGGUAGCUAAUACCGCAUAACGUCGCAAGACCAAAGAGGGGGACCUUCGGGCCUCUUGCCAACAGAUGUGCCCAGAUGGGAUUAGCUAGUAGGUGGGGUAACGGCUCACCUAGGCGACGAUCCCUAGCUGGUCUGAGAGGAUGACCAGCCACACUGGAACUGAGACACGGUCCAGACUCCUACGGGAGGCAGCAGUGGGGAAUAUUGCACAAUGGGCGCAAGCCUGAUGCAGCCAUGCCGCGUGUAUGAAGAAGGCCUUCGGGUUGCAAAGUACUUUCAGCGGGGAGGAAGGGAGUAAAGUUAAUACCUUUGCUCAUUGACGUUACCCGCAGAAGAAGCACCGGCUAACUCCGUGCCAGCAGCCGCGGUAAUACGGAGGGUGCAAGCGUUAAUCGGAAUUACUGGGCGUAAAGCGCACGCAGGCGGUUUGUUAAGUCAGAUGUGAAAUCCCCGGGCUCAACCUGGGAACUGCAUCUGAUACUGGCAAGCUUGAGUCUCGUAGAGGGGGGUAGAAUUCCAGGUGUAGCGGUGAAAUGCGUAGAGAUCUGGAGGAAUACCGGUGGCGAAGGCGGCCCCCUGGACGAAGACUGACGCUCAGGUGCGAAAGCGUGGGGAGCAAACAGGAUUAGAUACCCUGGUAGUCCACGCCGUAAACGAUGUCGACUUGGAGGUUGUGCCCUUGAGGCGUGGCUUCCGGAGCUAACGCGUUAAGUCGACCGCCUGGGGAGUACGGCCGCAAGGUUAAAACUCAAAUGAAUUGACGGGGGCCCGCACAAGCGGUGGAGCAUGUGGUUUAAUUCGAUGCAACGCGAAGAACCUUACCUGGUCUUGACAUCCACGGAAGUUUUCAGAGAUGAGAAUGUGCCUUCGGGAACCGUGAGACAGGUGCUGCAUGGCUGUCGUCAGCUCGUGUUGUGAAAUGUUGGGUUAAGUCCCGCAACGAGCGCAACCCUUAUCCUUUGUUGCCAGCGGUCCGGCCGGGAACUCAAAGGAGACUGCCAGUGAUAAACUGGAGGAAGGUGGGGAUGACGUCAAGUCAUCAUGGCCCUUACGACCAGGGCUACACACGUGCUACAAUGGCGCAUACAAAGAGAAGCGACCUCGCGAGAGCAAGCGGACCUCAUAAAGUGCGUCGUAGUCCGGAUUGGAGUCUGCAACUCGACUCCAUGAAGUCGGAAUCGCUAGUAAUCGUGGAUCAGAAUGCCACGGUGAAUACGUUCCCGGGCCUUGUACACACCGCCCGUCACACCAUGGGAGUGGGUUGCAAAAGAAGUAGGUAGCUUAACCUUCGGGAGGGCGCUUACCACUUUGUGAUUCAUGACUGGGGUGAAGUCGUAACAAGGUAACCGUAGGGGAACCUGCGGUUG